rnacentral:rRNA from 1 species
UACGGGGGGAGCAAGCGUUGUUCGGAUUUACUGGGCGUAAAGGGCGCGUAGGCGGCCUGUGCAAGUCAGUUGUGAAAUCUCCGAGCUUAACUCGGAACGGUCAACUGAUACUGCUCGGCUAGAGUGCGGAAGGGGCAACUGGAAUUCUUGGUGUAGCGGUGAAAUGCGUAGAUAUCAAGAGGAACACCUGAGGUGAAGACGGGUUGCUGGGCUGACACUGACGCUGAGGCGCGAAAGCCGGGGGAGCAAACAGG